rnacentral:tRNA from 1 species
GCACUGGUGGUGUAAGGCGUAGCAUCGCUGCCCGGAAAGCAGAAAGUGCGGGUUCGAAUCUAGCCUGGCGCA